GUCCAGCUGACAAGUCUUAAAAAGGACGAAACGCGCGUCCUAUAU
rfam:Schistosoma mattheei strain Denwood, Zambia genome assembly, scaffold: SMTD_scaffold0020556